rnacentral:lncRNA from 1 species
CUUUGGCUCUCUGUAAACAACACGACGCUUGACCACAGUCAAAACAAACCUUUCUGAGCGUUUUAAAGAUAUAAAAGUAAAUUUCCUGCAGGUGACAGUCAGUGAGAGCCUUUAAAUGUCACUUAUCAGCACACAUUUCAGCCCUUUCAAGCAAAAAAUGCGACUAUCACUGGAUAAUGUGCAGGAAUGCUGGACACUCCAUCACCUGUUUGUCCGAGCCAUCACCGCUGUGUUGUCUUACCGCCCCAGCAUGGUCCUUUCCUUUGCCGCUCAGUUGUCUUACCACCCCAGAUGAGCUUGUGAUUCAUUGAACACAGCUGGCAGAUCCUUUAGGGUUCAUCAGUCCAACUGCUUCUGAGCUGGACCUGAGAGAGACAUCUAGUGCUCAAUGCUGAAAUUACAGCUCAUUCACAAACAAAUGAGUGGAAUAUUGUUGCAGGUAAGGUAAAAAACACAAUCAUCAUGACAAUUGUAAAUAAACUUUUUAAUAAAAAUACGGCUCCUCAUAUUUGACGUUUUUAGUCUCUAACCACUUUUAAAUUAGUGCCACUGAGUACACAGUAGCGUAGCAGGACGCCUCCAGGUCAAAGUGCAGUGACAGACACGUGUGUGUGAUAGACCCGUCUGCAGGCUAUAUGUGAUGUUCUGUGGCUUAGCAAGCAGGGGUCGAUAACUUCCUGGGAUGAGAGGACCUCAUUCUUCUCCUCAUCUGAAGUCACAACAUGGAUCUGCAGCACAGAAAAUUAAGACAAUUAAACAAAUGAAAAUAAGUCAAAU